CUCACUGUCCUUGGACUUCCCUGGAGAACGUAGAAGUAAGUGCGUGGGGUAAACUUAUCAUUUACAGUUUUUCUUUAUUUAUAAUAUUGUUGUAAAUAAGUGUGUGUGUGUGUUGCCCAGGAAACAUGUGGGGAGGUCAGAGGACAAUUUUAGGGAUUCCACUCUUCCCACCACGAGUUUGGGGGUUAGAAAUCACAAGGUUAGAUAGAAUUGCUCAGCAAGCCCCUGUACCCGCUGAGCCUUCCUUCUCACAAGCCCCAGUUAACUAGUUUUUUUCCAGACCUCUGCUCCGACUUUCCAAAAGCUUAUAAUGUCUGCGGGAAAUAGGGGUCUCACAGGGAACUCAGGUCCUCACGGGAAAAUCAGGUAAAUCAAAUACUCAUUUGGUAACCACAGGCAAACUAUGCGCUUUUAGCAGCAGGGCAGACAGUUCUGAUGAACGCUAACCAGUAGACGGUAACCACAGUGAUUGGCAGAGCUUGGACGCCAAGUCUAACCUGCUCUGAGGUAUUUAUUACCAGUGAGCUAGAGUCAAGGGUAAUAAGUGACUUCAAGGAGAUGUUAAAAUUUUGUUUUGGGGUGCCGAUUAAAUAUGACCUUUCUCUCAGAAGUAGGGUAAGGGAGUCUGAGGUGCCCUAGUCUUAGGACGUCGGUGCGCUUGCAUGUGAAUUCGAUAGGCAUGACCACAGGGAUAGUCAAUUUCCUUUAUGUCCUGUACCUGAGAAGAAAUGGAAGCAGCAACCUGCCUUUCGGAUUAUCUUUUCACAGCUGAUGUGCACUGUUGGCUCCUGUUGUGCUGCACAGGCCUCCGUACAAACGGAACUCAAGAGCAUACACCACUCAUCUCUGCUAGUGGAUCACCUCUGAACGCUGUCUGCGCUGGGCUGAGGAUGCUCAUUACUGAAGUUCAAGGUUCUUACUGAUGUCACUGGAAAAUUUGUCUCUGCUCUGAGAAAUCACAGGGACAGGUCCCCGGAAGGCAAUCAUGUGAAUUCAGUCAUCAGUUACAUUUCGCCAAGAAUUAAGUCACCCAUCAGCUGACUCAAGGCUUCAACACAUGUCUAAGCUCAGAGAUGCUACUGGUCUCUUCCACGACUUGUUCAAGAUGGAUCUAACACUGAUGAACCCCAUGCCAACAAUUUGCUUCCCAACGUAAAGCUAACUUGGAGUGUGGGAGACGCACACUGAAAUCAUUCUCCUCGUAAGCAAGAGACCUGCAUUAUACAACUUACGUUAACUCAUCAUGGUGAUGCUCUUAGCAUUACUCUCUAAACCCACCUUUUCCCUAAAAGAAUACAUACAUCAUCUUUUAAUAUUCUACUACCCUGACCAAACAAAGAAAUAACAAUAAUUUUUAUUUUCAUACAUACUAAAAUUAUUUUUAGGUGGGUUGUUAAUGAUUAGUAAAAAUCUUCUUUCCCCACAGACAUUAUCAUUAACUUGGGCUCACGAUAAGCGGCCAUCACAGGCUCAGAAGUGGACUUUACCCAUCUUGGACACAAAGCAGUGUUUGUACCAGAAUAAAACGGAAUAUGACUCAUAUACAAAUGGAGAACCUUGAAGCCUAUGAUGUACAUUAUAGAAAGCAGAAAUAGGAAAUGAUGCUGUGCAUUCUAGGUUGAUCCUUUCUAUAAUUAACAAUGUAUUUCUUUCAGGGUUAGUCUUUGUGACUCGUGAGGUGACUACACUAACACCUGGUGUUGAUAAGAUGGCAUGAAAACAGCCAGCUCUGGAAGUCGUGCGGAGUGAUGGCUCAGAAGUGAAUAGUGCUUGCUGCUCUUUCCAAGGACCCGAGAUGGGUUACCAGCACCCAUGUUCUCCAGAUCACAGUCUUCGCUAACUCCAGCUCCAGGGCUUCUAACCCCCUCUUCUGGCCUCCAUGGUACCUUUACUCAUGUGCCUGACAUCCUCCCACACAUACUUAAUGAAAAAUUAGAAUUAAAUCUUUAAUAAUAAUAA
rnacentral:lncRNA from 1 species